AUAUUAGUAGGUAACAAAAUUCCAAGCCCCAUGUAUAAAAAUAUUGCAGUCUUCACGUGCUCUGGACAUUAUAGUCUGAAACUCUCCAUAAAAUUUAGGCCCAGUUGCUGGUUCUCCAUUGCAAUAGGGUCAUGGAGGCGUUUCUCAAGGACGUCAAGAACAGGCUUUCUACUCUAUUUGCUGGUCUCACAACCUGCAACAAAAACCCAUCUCACACCAAAGGAAUCGAGGAGGGAGAACCCACUUGGGAGACUAAUCAGAAAAUGGUGGUGCAGGAAAGGGGUUUGAAGGUGAGAGGAAGAGGUUCAAAUCCUCCUCCCAUAAAGAAAGGCGCACCGGGUCAGGUCAAUUAGAACUUAUUAUCUUCGAUGUGAUCCCCCAUUUUCUCUUUCUUCUAGCUCCUGUUUGCUAUAUUUUUUAUAUAUAUGAUGUAUUUGUGCUCCAUCUUCCUCGUGUAUUUUUCAUGGUGUUAGAAUAAAUUGAAAAGAGUUCGAAUUA